rnacentral:rRNA from 1 species
AAAUUGAAGAGUUUGAUCAUGGCUCAGAUUGAACGCUGGCGGCAGGCCUAACACAUGCAAGUCGAACGGUAACAGGAAGCAGCUUGCUGCUUCGCUGACGAGUGGCGGACGGGUGAGUAAUGUCUGGGAAACUGCCUGAUGGAGGGGGAUAACUACUGGAAACGGUGGCUAAUACCGCAUAACGUCGCAAGACCAAAGAGGGGGACCUUCGGGCCGUCUUGCCAUCAGAUGUGCCCAGAUGGGAUUAGCUAGUUGGUGAGGUAACGGCUCACCAAGGCGACGAUCCCUAGCUGGUCUGAGAGGAUGACCAGCCACACUGGAACUG